GCCCGGUUAGCUCAGCUGGUUAGAGCGUCGUACUAAUAUAGCAGCAUCUCCUGUUAUACUGAGUCAUGCGAAGGUCAACAGUUCAAUCCUGUUACUGGGCA